CGGACGGGUGAGUAACGCGUGGGUAACCUGCCUCAUACAGGGGGACAACGGUUAGAAAUGACUGCUAAUACCGCAUAAGCGCACAGUACCGCAUGGUACGGUGUGAAAAACUCCGGUGGUAUGAGAUGGACCCGCGUCUGAUUAGCUAGUUGGUGAGGUAACGGCCCACCAAGGCAACGAUCAGUAGCCGACCUGAGAGGGUGACCGGCCACAUUGGGACUGAGACACGGCCCAG
rnacentral:rRNA from 1 species